CGAACUGGUGAGUAACACGUGGGUAACCUGCCCAGAAGAAGGGGAUAACACCUGGAAACAGAUGCUAAUACCGUAUAACAACAAGAACCACAUGGUUCUUGUUUGAAAGCUGGCCUUUGUGCUAGUGCUUCUGGAUGGACCCGCGGCGUAUUAGCUAGUUGGUGAGAUAAUAGCUCACCAAGGCAAUGAUACGUAGCAGACCUGAGAGGGUAAUCUGCCACAAUGGGACUGAGACACGGCCCAUACUCCUACGGGAGGCAGCAGUAGGGAAUCUUCCACAAUGGACGAAAGUCUGAUGGAGCAACGCCGCGUGAGUGAAGAAGGGUUUCGGCUCGUAAAACUCUGUUGUUAGAGAAGAACAGCCGUGAGAGCAACUGCUCACGGUAUGACGGUAUCUAACCAGAAAGUCACGGCUAACUACGUGCCAGCAGCCGCGGUAAUACGUAGGUGGCAAACGUUGUCCGGAUUUAUUGGGCGUAAAGGGAGCGCAGGCGGUUUAUUAAGUCUGAUGUGAAAGCCUUCGGCUUAACCGGAGAAGUGCAUCGGAAACUGAUAAACUUGAGUGCAGAAAAGGAUAGUGGAACUUCAUGUGUAGCGGUGAAAUGCGUAGAUAUAUGAAGGAACACCAGUGGCGAAGGCGGCUAUCUGGUCUGUAACUGACGCUGAGGCUCGAAAGCAUGGGUAGCAAACAGGAUUAGAUACCCUGGUAGUCCAUGCCGUAAACGAUGAAUGCUAGGUGUUGGAAGGUU
rnacentral:rRNA from 2 species